rnacentral:lncRNA from 1 species
GCCGGACAUGAUCAUGCUCAGAUAGGCUAUCACAUCUCUCCAUUGGUCGCCUAGUGAUGUUCAAACGUUAACUUUUUUAUUAUUAUGUAUGACUGUGUGCAGUGACUACCGCAGUUUCAGUCUAUGGUUCUGUUUCGCCAGCCGGUGCAUGAUGCACAGCUCGUGGCUAUCACGCUAGUGAACACGAAUCGGGAUGGGGGGGGAAAAACACAGAUGAGAAGCUUUCCCCGGGAUUAAAACCCCGUCCUCUUGAAAGGUUCUAUAUCGUCGGUCGUCGUUAGUCGGCGUCGGUUUCCUUUCUGUACAGUGCCCUCUACACGCGCGAAAAAUCACACAAAGCACAACUACACGUAAAAUGGUGUGCUUGAAAUGUUUUAUUGGGUUUUAAUUCAGGUCUUUUUACACGUGGAAGUCAGAUGGGAGACCUGAAAACACCAACGGACAAAUUAGAUGUGGAUCCAGCGGGGGGAAAAGAGAGGAAGAGAGAAGCUGCUCAGAAUUUCACACGGAUUCGGAAUGUUUCGGAAUCGCCUCUACUGCAGAAUAUUUGCUGCAUGACUGACUCAGACCUUGGCCGAUGGCACGGGACUUUUGGCCAAUCAGAGAACCCCAUGGUCAGACAGACGGACAGCCCUAGCAGUAAGUAACUUAUUGUAAGCUAUUUUAUAAUACAAUUUGUAAUAUAUCAUAUUGUAUAGAUUUGGAUUUGUUUAGUAUUUAUGACUGCCUCAUCUUAAUUUGAAAUAGCAAUUACCAAGUGCAGGUGGCUAAAACACACACACACACCGUACCUAAACUUCAGAAUCCAUUGGGGCAUAAAAAGUUCUAUGUCUAGCCAACCACCGCUAUCUCUCUGCUGUUCCUGAAACCGUUACAAAAUGGUGUCCGCUCUCUGCCUUCAGCUCCCCCCAGCCCCCUGCAGCUCUGCCAUCCAUUUUGUGUGUCUCUGCCAAAGUAGUCAGGUAGCAGGAUGAUGGGGCAAGAGGAGAGAAGAGGGCACUAGUCCAGAGGAU